rnacentral:rRNA from 1 species
UACGAAGGGGGCUAGCGUUGCUCGGAAUCACUGGGCGUAAAGGGUGCGUAGGCGGGUCUUUUAAGUCAGGGGUGAAAUCCUGGAGCUCAACUCCAGAACUGCCCUUGAUACUGAGGAUCUUGAGUUCGGGAGAGGUGAGUGGAACUGCGAGUGUAGAGGUGAAAUUCGUAGAUAUUCGCAAGAACACCAGUGGCGAAGGCGGCUCACUGGCCCGAUACUGACGCUGAGGCACGAAAGCGUGGGGGAGCAAACAGG